rnacentral:rRNA from 1 species
CCUACGGGAGGCAGCAGUGAGGAAUAUUGGUCAAUGGGCGAGAGCCUGAACCAGCCAAGUCGCGUGAAGGAUGAAGGAUCUAUGGUUUGUAAACUUCUUUUAUAUGGGAAUAAAAUGUUCCACGUGUGGGAUUUUGUAUGUACCAUAUGAAUAAGGAUCGGCUAACUCCGUGCCAGCAGCCGCGGUAAUACGGAGGAUCCGAGCGUUAUCCGGAUUUAUUGGGUUUAAAGGGAGCGUAGAUGGGUUGUUAAGUCAGUUGUGAAAGUUUGCGGCUCAACCGUAAAAUUGCAAUUGAUACUGGCAGUCUUGAGUACAGUUGAGGUAGGCGGAAUUCGUGGUGUAGCGGUGAAAUGCUUAGAUAUCACGUAGAACUCCGAUUGCGAAGGCAGCUUACUAAACUGCCACUGACAUUGAUGCUCGAAAGUGUGGGUAUCAAACAGGAUUAGAUACCCUUGUAGUC